AAGAACCCAGAUAGCAAAAACACUUCGGGGCGGACCCGCCUUCAAGUCAGCCCGCCCCACGCUGUUUCUCAGUUUGGCUCUCCGGACAGUACCCGCCCGCUCACAGACAGCGGCUCGUCAGACAGCGGCUCGUCAAACAACGGCUCCGCUCCGGACUCACAGCAGCUCCCCUUCCCCUUUUUUCUUUUUUCAAAAUGUACCGGCUGCUCUCACACAGGGAGUGGACAGCAGCGCUUCUCUACGCUCACUGCUGAUCUUAUUCAGGCCGUCUCAUCUCUGCACGCUGCCUAAUUAAGGUGGAUGUGACCAUGGAGGAGCCACAAAGGAGGAGGAGCUUUGAUACCAGAUUACACUCUGCAGAAAUUUCCCAACACUGACAUUAAACUGCUGAGGGGAGCCGCCAGGAACAAGCUUAAUAAUGAAAGCAAGAAUUUUGAAAAUAUCUGAGUUGGAGCUGGACCUGCCAUCCCAGGAAAUGAAGACUGAAUUACAUUCAUUAAUAAAAAUAUAAAUUAUAUAAAGAUUUAA